rnacentral:rRNA from 1 species
AUUGAACGCUGGCGGCAGGCCUAACACAUGCAGGUCGAACGGUAGCACAGAGAGCUUGCUCUCGGGUGACGAGUGGCGGACGGGUGAGUAACGUCUGGGAAACUGCCCGAUGGAGGGGGAUAACUACUGGAAACGGUAGCUAAUACCGCAUAACGUCGCAAGACCAAAGUGGGGGACCUUCGGGCCUCACACCAUCGGAUGUGCCCAGAUGGGAUUAGCUAGUAGGUGGGGUAAUGGCUCACCUAGGCGACGAUCCCUAGCUGGUCUGAGAGGAGGACCAGCCACACUGGAACUGAGAAACGGUCCAGACUCCUACGGGAGGCAGCAGUGGGGAAUAUUGCACAAUGGGCGCAAGCCUGAUGCAGCCAUGCCGCGUGUAUGAAGAAGGCCUUCGGGUUGUAAAGUUCUUUCAGCGGGGAGGAAGGCGGUGAAGUUAAUAGCUUCACCGAUUGACGUUACCCGCAGAGGAAGCACCGGCUAACUCCGUGCCAGCCGCCGCCGUAA